UACGUAGGGGGCAAGCGUUGUCCGGAUUUAUUGGGCGUAAAGAGCGUGUAGGCGGCUUGGUAGGUCUUGCGUCAAAACCUGAGGCUCAACCUCAGUUCGCGUGGGAAACCAUCUAGCUAGAGUCCGGAAGAGGAGAACGGAAUUCCCAGUGUAGCGGUGAAAUGCGCAGAUAUUGGGAAGAACACCAGUGGCGAAGGCGGUUCUCUGGGACGGUACUGACGCUGAGGAGCGAAAGCCAGGGGAGCAAACGGG
rnacentral:rRNA from 1 species